GAGUAAAGUUCUAGAGAAGAAAAAAUCUGAUGAUGACAAAACUCUUUUCUAUAUGUCUUGACCAAAUUACGUGCCAGCAGUCGCGGUAAUACGUAAAAGACUAGUGUUAUUCAUCUUUAGUAGGUUUAAAGGGUACCUAGACGGUAUAAUUAGUCUUAAAUAAGAAACGGUUAUGCUAGAGUUAUAUAUGAGAAGGGGAGUAUUUAUGGAGUAGAGUUGAAAUUCUUUGAUCCCAUAACGACUGGUAACGGCGAAAGCAACCUUUUAUCUAUUAACUGACGUUGAGGGACGAAGGCUCGGGUCACGAACAGGAUUAGAUACCCUAGUAGUCCAAGCAGAGAAUGAUGAAUGCCAUAGAUUAGAUGUUAAUUUAGUCUAUAAAUGAAAGUGUAAGCAUUUCACCUCAAGAGUAAUGUGGCAACGCAGGAACUGAAAUCAUUAGACCGUUUCUGAAACCAGUAGUGAAGUAUGUUAUUUAAUUCGUAGUCACGCGAAAAACCUUACCACAACUUGAAUACUAUCUUUAAGAUAAUACNAGCGUUGCACGGCUGUCUUCAGUUAAUGUCGUGAGAUAUUGGUUAAUUCCAUUAAAUUAACGGAAACCCUUGCUUUAUUUGUUAUAAAGCA
rnacentral:rRNA from 1 species